AGGGUUUGAUUAUGGCUCAGGAUGAACGCUGGCGGCGUGCCUAAUACAUGCAAGUAGAACGCUGAAGGAAGGAGCUUGCUCUUUCCGGAUGAGUUGCGAACGGGUGAGUAACGCGUAGGUAACCUGCCUGGUAGCGGGGGAUAACUAUUGGAAACGAUAGCUAAUACCGCAUAACAGUAGAUAUUGCAUGAUAUCUGCUUGAAAGGUGCAAUUGCAUCACUACCAGAUGGACCUGCGUUGUAUUAGCUAGUUGGUGAGGUAACGGCUCACCAAGGCGACGAUACAUAGCCGACCUGAGAGGGUGAUCGGCCACACUGGGACUGAGACACGGCCCAG
rnacentral:rRNA from 1 species